rnacentral:rRNA from 1 species
CGAGGGGCAGCGGGGGUGCAGGCUUGCCUGCACCUGCCGGCGACCGGCGCACGGGUGAGUAACACGUAUGGAACCUGCCCGCCACAGGGGGAUAACCCGGGGAAACCCGGCCUAAUACCCCAUGCCGCCCGGACCGGGCAUCCGGACCGGGCGAAAGGAGGAAUCCGGUGGCGGCUGGGCAUGCGGCGCAUUAGCUUGACGGCGGGGUAACGGCCCACCGUGGCGACGAUGCGUAGGGGUUCUGAGAGGAAGGCCCCCCACACUGGAACUGAGACACGGUCCAGACUCCUACGGGAGGCAGCAGUGAGGAAUAUUGGUCAAUGGGCGGAAGCCUGAACCAGCCAAGUCGCGUGAGGGAAUAAGGCCCUACGGGUCGUAAACCUCUUUUGCCGGGGAGCAAGGGCCGGGACGAGUCCCGGUCCGGAGAGUACCCGGAGAAAAAGCAUCGGCUAACUCCGUGCCAGCAGCCGCGGUAAUACGGAGGAUGCGAGCGUUAUCCGGAUUUAUUGGGUUUAAAGGGUGCGUAGGCGGGCUUUUAAGUCAGCGGUAAAAAUUCGGGGCUCAACCCCGUCCGGCCGUUGAAACUGGGGGCCUUGAGUGGGCGAGAAGAAGGCGGAAUGCGUGGUGUAGCGGUGAAAUGCAUAGAUAUCACGCAGAACCCCGAUUGCGAAGGCAGCCUUCCGGCGCCCUACUGACGCUGAGGCACGAAAGUGCGGGGAUCGAACAGGAUUAGAUACCCUGGUAGUCCGCACAGUAAACGAUGGAUGCCAGCUGUCCGGGCCGAAUGGGGCCUGGGUGGCAAAGCGAAAGCGUUAAGCAUCCCACCUGGGGA